GUGUUGUUAUGUUUCACUAUAUUGGAUCACUCCAAUAUAUUGGUAUCACUCCGCGGCGGAUGGAUACAUCCGAAGGAGGAUUUACACAUUUACUCCGGUGUACACCUGUGUCAAGGCUGGGGUCCGCCCCUAUAUAUAGACCCCAUGGCCGCGACACAGACGUUCUCUUUCAUUUUCUCGGCGGAUGUCCGUAUGGGUUGAUGUACAAACUUUCUGAAGUUCGCUUGGUAAGUCACUGGAUUUGGUGGUACGGCCAACCAGCCUCACAACCGCAGACCACGUGUAACCACGCCAACCUAGGACCUCCACAUCCAGCUUCUUCACCUGCGGGAUCGUCUGAGACCAGCUCCCUGGACAGCUGAUGAAACUGGGUUUGCACAACCGGAGAAUUUCUGCACAAACUGUCAGAAGCCGUCUCAGGGAAGCUCAUCUGAAUGCUUGUCUUCCUCACCAGGGUCUUGACCUGAUUGCAGUUUGGUGUCCUAACUGACUUCAGUGAGCAAAUGCUCACCUUCGAUGGCCACUGGGACGCUGGAGAAGUAAGUGUGCUCUUCACGGAUGAUUCCUGGUUUCAACUGUGCUGGGCAGAUGGCAGACCGCGUGUAUGGCUUUGUGUGGGCGAGUGACUUGCUGAUCUUGUUGUGAACCGAGUGCCCCAUGGUGCCGGUGGGGUUAUGGUAUGGGCAGGCAUAAGCCACGGACCAUGAAAAACAAUUGCAUUUUAUCAAUGGCAAUUUGAAUGCACAGAGGUGCUGUGAAAAGAUCCCGAGGCCCAUUGCCGUGUCAUUCAUCCGCCGCCAUCACUUUGUUUCAGCAUGAUAAUGCACGGCCCCAUUUCGCAAGGAUCUGUACACAAUUCCUGGAAGCUGUAAAUGUCCCAGUUAUUCUAUGGCCUGCAUAUUCACCAGACAUAUCACCCAUUUGAAAAUGUUUGUGAUGCUCUGGAUCAAUGUGUAUGACAGCGUGUUCCAGAUCCUGCCAACAUCCAGCAACUUCGCACAGCCAUUGAAGAGGAGUGGGACAACAUUCCACAGGCCACAAUCAACAGCCUGAUCAACUCUAUGCGAAGGAGAUGUCGCCCUGCAUGAGGCAUAUGCUGGUCACACCAGAUACUGACUGGUUUUCUGAUCCACACCUAAUACCUAUUUAUUUAAGGUAUCUGUGACCAACCGAUGCAUAUCUGUUUCCCCAGUCAUGUAAAAUCCAUAGAUUAUGGCCCAUUGAAUUUAUUUCAAUUGACUGAUUUCCUUAUAUGAACUGUAACUCAGUAACAUCUUUUAAACUGUUCCAUGUUGCAUUUUAUAUUUUUGUUCAGUGUCGUUUAGUUGCCUCCCUCUCUGGUUUAUUUACGUGACCCCCGUCACGCCACAGUUUUAAGCAACAAUUAUGUGAGUUAUGGUAGGCAACCUAUAAUUAACGUACAGAUUUCUAUGUUCAGAUCUUAAAUGUAAUGUGGUAUUUGUAGUAAACACA